UACGUAGGGUGCGAGCGUUGUCCGGAAUUAUUGGGCGUAAAGAGCUUGUAGGCGGUUUGUCGCGUCUGCUGUGAAAUCUCAAGGCUCAACCUUGAGCUUGCAGUGGGUACGGGCAGACUAGAGUGUGGUAGGGGAGACUGGAAUUCCUGGUGUAGCGGUGAAAUGCGCAGAUAUCAGGAGGAACACCGAUGGCGAAGGCAGGUCUCUGGGCAUUAACUGACGCUGAGGAGCGAAAGCAUGGGGGAGCGAACAGG
rnacentral:rRNA from 1 species